GCAUUUGAUAUGGAUUGGAAUUAAUAAAACACAAAAAAUGAAGGAAAUGUAUGCAAGUCGACAGGAAUCAUAAUUACUUACGGAUGGUUGAUGCAGGUGUGCCUUAAAACAUUUACUAAUUUUUGUCAUCAAAACUACACGUAUUUACUAAUCUGGAUACCAACUAAGAUUUUAAUUUGUAGACUCCCAACAGUUCACCAUUUAUGGUUAAUAAUAACCCAUCAUAAAGGACCAUGACUUUGACACAUCACAUGGAAUUGUGAGACAACUAUAAAUCCAUUGCAGUAUGGGAAAGAAGAUGUGGAUAUAAUUUAACAGCCAUCAGACAAUUAGACUAAGAAAACCUGGCAAUUUAAUCAAGCAUUAACAGCUGUGGUACUAUUUUUCAUCACCUAUAGAUAUAAAAGUGUUGGAUUUUGGAUGGUUGUACCUCUGUCAAGCUCUACAUGAAAUAUAAAAAAAUUUCAAGCCGUGUGAGAAUCAGCCAAGAAUAUUCCAAUGAUGGAUCAAGAUACGCUGUAGUAAAAUGAACAUCAAAUAAAUGAUUACUAGUAUUUUGAAACUUUAGAAAAAUCAAUGUUAACUUUGAAGAUCGAUAUUUGAGUGAUUACAUGUGUUUUUAAAAAUCCACAUAAAAAUUGAAAAUUUUUAGAUUGUUAUUGUUAUUCCUGUAAGUGUUAUUAUCAAAUCAUGUAAUAAAUAUUUUAUAUAUUUAUA